rnacentral:rRNA from 1 species
UAUGAAGGUGGCUAGCGUUGUUCGGAUUUAUUGGGCGUAAAGGGUCCGCAGGCGGUUUGAUAAGUCAGGUGUGAAAUCCCACAGCUUAACUGUGGACACGCAUUCGAUACUGUCAGACUAGAGUAUGAGAGGGGUAAGAGGAAUUUCCAGUGUAGGGGUGAAAUCCGUAGAUAUUGGAAAGAACACCGGCCGCGAAGGCGUUUUACUGGCUCAUUACUGACGCUCAGGGACGAAAGCCAGGGGAGCAAACGGG